GGGCGUAAAGAGCUCGUAGGUGGUUUGUCGCGUUGUUCGUGAAAUCUCACGGCUUAACUGUGAGCGUGCGGGCGAUACGGGCAGACUUGAGUACUGCAGGGGAGACUGGAAUUCCUGGUGUAGCGGUGGAAUGCGCAGAUAUCAGGAGGAACACCGGUGGCGAAGGCGGGUCUCUGGGCAGUAACUGACGCUGAGGAGCGAAAGCGUGGGGAGCGAACAGGAUUAGAUACCCUGGUAGUCCACGCCGUAAACGGUGGGUACUAGGUGUGGGUUUCCUUCCUUGGGAUCCGUGCCGUAGCUAACGCAUUAAGUACCCCGCCUGGGGAGUACGGCCGCAAGGCUAAAACUCAAAGAAAUUGACGGGGGCCCGCACAAGCGGCGGAGCAUGUGGAUUAAUUCGAUGCAACGCGAAGAACCUUACCUGGGUUUGACAUGCACAGGACGCCGGCAGAGAUGUCGGUUCCCUUGUGGCCUGUGUGCAGGUGGUGCAUGGCUGUCGUCAGCUCGUGUCGUGAGAUGUUGGGUUAAGUCCCGCAACGAGCGCAACCCUUGUCUCAUGUUGCCAGCGGGUAAUGCCGGGGACUCGUGAGAGACUGCCGGGGUCAACUCGGAGGAAGGUGGGGAUGACGUCAAGUCAUCAUGCCCCUUAUGUCCAGGGCUUCACACAUGCUACAAUGGCCGGUACAAAGGGCUGCGAUGCCGCGAGGUUAAGCGAAUCCUUUUAAAGCCGGUCUCAGUUCGGAUCGGGGUCUGCAACUCGACCCCGUGAAGUCGGAG
rnacentral:rRNA from 1 species